ensembl:lncRNA
GGGGAGCCCAGUUUGCACCUAGAUUUAAUAUUUUACCAUUUUACACCUAGAUUUAGCUUAAAUUUUUCCAUUAAUUCAUUCAACAAAAUGUACUGUGCUCCUGCUUUGUGACUGCAAAAGGGCCUGUCAUAAUCUCUGUCUCACUGAUAGCCCAGUCCCCUCCCUGGGCCCCCAGCCACCCAUGCAGGGCUGAUGACUGGUGGUGAGAGAAAGCCUCUCUCAGCAGGUGACCUAAAAGGAAAGAGGAAGGAGCCAGCCAUGAUGAUGUGGGGGAAGAGCAGAGGGAACGGCAAGCUCAAAGGCCCUGAGGUCACUCCAGCUGCUAUGUGGAAAAUCAAUUCCAGGGAAACGGAAGCAAGGAAACCGAUUACAUCACGUUCACCACCCGAAUAGUGACUUUUCUUCUGUGGAAGGAGUUCAGGGAACUUACGCCAGUUAAAAAGCAUUUAAUUACUGUUGUCUAACUUCUGUUGCCUCAAAUUCUCUCAGGAAACUUCUUAAAUAGACGGAGUUCCCAAUCUCACACCCCCGAGAUUCUCAUUCUACCAAGCUGAGGAAUCUGCAUUUUGAGAAUCUCCAGUUAAGUAUUUAGCAGCAUCCCCUGAUGGUGGCUAUUUUGAAAUCGCAGAUGUAACAAAUUUAUGGUACUUUGGACUCUUCAUACAUAAUUGUCAUAGGCAAAGUAACAAUCUUUUACGUUUAUAAUAGAGCUAGUUUUAUGGGAAUAACCAAAUGGGGUGGAAACUCCUUCUUAUUCAGUAAUUAUCUGGAAAGAACUCUCAGAAGUAUUAAGAUAAAAAAUAAUUGAAACUUUGUAAGUAGUAAUUAAUCGGCUAUUACGGGGUCAGAGGGCAGUAAUAGCUCGGAACCCACAGCCCAGCUGAUUAUUAGGGUGCUGUAAGAUUAGAAUAAUUGCAACUGUGGAGACAAAAUAGAAAGAUAGUGGCCUUUUCCAAAAGGUAUAAAAAGCCAAUACUUCCUUCGGCAGCAGAACUUACCCCAGCCGCAGAAGAGACGCAGUCCCAUCCCAGGGGUGUGUAUUUGUUUGAAGCAGUGCUCUAACUAGGCAUGAGUCAGUUCUCGCUGAGAAUUUUGUUAGUGUUUCAUUUUGGGUUGGAAAUUGCUCCUUUAGAGCCCCGACCAAGACCAGCCCUCCACACCACUGGUGUAUCUUUGCUUAACUGCUCAGAUACCUGUCUCCCCUGGACUUUCCAGAGAGUGGAACAGAGGGCAGCUCAGUGUCUGAGAGCUCUGGCCAUGUGAGGAGAAAAUACUGCAAGGGAAGUCUGCCUGGGAGGACUGUUUCUACACUCAGGUUGGCUGGAGGAAUCUUCCAGCUUCAUGGCUUAUUUGUUGGUUGGUUUGCUUGUUUCUGUUUGAGGGCUAUUCUCAGAAUUCUCCAUGAACAUUCAUCCAACAUCCCCCUCGUGCCAUUUUUCUCUCAUUCACCCUAGGCUCAUAUUUGAAUUAGAAGAUCAUCGAGGAUAAUUUCUUACAUUCUAGACAAGGCAACUGGGGUGUGAGUAGAGUGACUGCUCUAAGGUCACAUAAAACUGGAUCAGUGCCCAGGACUACUCAUGGUGGCCCAGCAGUGUUCACAGGCCAGUGUCCUUCUGUGACCAUCUGGUCCUCAUCACCUGCUUGUCCUGUCCUUCCUCCAUCCCUGCAAAUACCGACCCCCACCCCUAUCUGUGCACACACGCACACACACAUACACUCUCUCUCAGUUUUCUUCUUUCUGCAAAUCCCUUUUCCCCUUCGCAUUUUACCAAGCUGACCAAAACAUGAAAAAUAAAUCGAACAAAAAAAUUCUUUAUUUUAAAAUAACAAACCCAAAUGCUCAGCUUUCCAACCUUAACUAAAUUGUGCAGGGUUUACUUGUGUUACUUCCUCUUGAUUUAUUUUUGUGGGUUCAGCCUCUAAAAAAAAAUAUAAAGGUUUAUCUGUUACAAUCCAAAGGAGAACAACUUGAAGGAGGAAAUAGAAAACAAAGGGAAAGGUGAGCAGAAAGAUCGCAUAACUACCUAAGGGAACACGAAAUACAAAUCUAGACAUGCCCACAUGUAUUUUUCCAUUUAGAAACAAGCCUUAGCAGCCUUGGUGCCAUCCUUUAUUGUUUCCUCUAGACGCUGGCCCGGUCUCAGUACGCAGUGCAUCUGGACUAAGCGUUAGCCUGCCCUCUGGUGGUGCCUGCCGACAUGUGCAUGUACAUGCGCCCAACGCCCAGGAAUAGGCGCUUGAAAAACUCACUGCUAGAAGGAAGGCUUCGGCUGCUUUCCAGUAAAUACAGCAGGUGGAGACACACACUGAAAAACUGCAACGCAGUCCACCUUGCUUUCAUUUGGCUCUUAGGAGAUUGCUGGGCACCCACAGUUAUUGAAACUAAGUUUGAUCGUAAUUUAUUUGUGAUGAUUCAUAUUUCCUGCUUGUUUUUAAUUCUUGAAAAAUGUUAAGAUCUGGAGAUUUCAAGCAUAUACAGUUUCUAAAUCCGUUGACUCCACCCCCACAUCAUUCAUUCGUAUUAAAUACCUACCAUGUGCAGAGAUUCAGGGUGAGAUGGUGGUGCAAAGGUUGGUAAGACAGACUCCAUCCUUAAAACUCACCCUCUGAUUGGGGAGAAGACAUAUUUGGACAUAAUUACAAUAUAUGGCGAUGGUAUAAACAGA